rnacentral:rRNA from 1 species
UGGCGCCGGGUGAGUAAUGUAUAGUUAAUCUGCCCUAUGCUGGAGGACAACAGUUAGAAAUGACUGCUAAUACUCCAUACUCCUUCUUAACACAAGUUAAGUUGGGAAAGUUUUUUCGGCAUAGGAUGAGACUAUAUUGUAUCAGCUAGUUGGUGAGGUAAUGGCUCACCAAGGCUAUGACGCAUAACUGGUCUGAGAGGAUGAUCAGUCACACUGGAACUGAGACACGGUCCAGACUCCUACGGGAGGCAGCAGUAGGGAAUAUUGCUCAAUGGGGGAAACCCUGAAGCAGCAAUGCCGCGUGGAGGAUGACACUUUUCGGAGCGUAAACUCCUUUUCUUAGGGAAGAAAUUUGACGGUACCUAAGGAAUAAGCACCGGCUAACUCCGUGCCAGCAGCCGCGGUAAUACGGAGGGUGCAAGCGUUACUCGGAAUCACUGGGCGUAAAGGACGCGUAGGCGGAUUAUCAAGUCUUUUGUGAAAUCUAAUGGCUCAACCAUUAAACUGCUUGAGAAACUGAUAAUCUAGAGUGAGGGAGAGGCAGAUGGAAUUGGUGGUGUAGGGGUAAAAUCCGUAGAGAUCACCAGGAAUACCCAUUGCGAAGGCGAUCUGCUAGAACUCAACUGACGCUAAUGCGUGAAAGCGUGGGGAGCAAACAGGAUUAGAUACCCUGGUAGUCCACGCCCUAAACGAUGUAUACUAGUUGUUGCUAUGCUAGUCAUGGCAGUAAUGCACCUAACGGAUUAAGUAUACCGCCUGGGGAGUACGGUCGCAAGAUUAAAACUCAAAGGAAUAGACGGGGACCCGCACAAGCGGUGGAGCAUGUGGUUUAAUUCGAAGAUACGCGAAGAACCUUACCUGGGCUUGAUAUCCUAAGAACCUUGUAGAGAUACGAGGGUGCUAGCUUGCUAGAACUUAGUGACAGGUGCUGCACGGCUGUCGUCAGCUCGUGUCGUGAGAUGUUCGGUUAAGUCCGGCAACGAGCGCAACCCACGUAUUUAGUUGCUAACAGUUUGGCUGAGCACUCUAAAUAUACUGCCUUCGUAAGGAGGAGGAAGGUGUGGACGACGUCAAGUCAU